UUCGAUCACGUGAUCUUUCUUUCUUUUCUUUAAAGAAGUCGCUAAUUGGCGGGCUGAUUUAACCGCUUGGUUUAAAUGGAGCAGUCGCCAUUUUGUUUCUGUUUCAUCACAACGCGUACAGAUUAUUCACGUAAAAAUGGCGCAGGGACGUGAAGAGAGCAAAGAGAAAGAAGCAGAAUGAACAAAACUCUUCGUGUGUUUCCCCCACACCCGGUCCUUCUGGUACUUCACCUCUCUCUUCUGGCUGGAAAGACCACUAAAGGCCAACGGUGUACUCGUGUUAACGCACCUGUUAAUGAGUGUUUUUCAGGUCAUCGCGGUGUUGCCGUGUGGAGAGAGAUGGAGAGAACCUUUUGUUAGUGUUCUGGUAGAACGGGAGUGUGAAGAUCUACGAGACGACGAAGGUUCCAGACUAAAGCGCCGCCGCAUCGCUCUCUCUAUAGGUCGAGAUGACGUGAAGCCCGCACCACUAUCAGCAGGUAGUCGAAUGGCAUCGUGGGUAAUCUAGGAAACUUGUAUGAAAUGAACAGCGCAACAUGCAAGUGAAAGAAGUUUACUCUUCAUCCGAUAUCACCUCGUUCUGUGUGACCCGAGCAUCCGGGUUUGUAACACCCAGCGCUUUUCUUAUAACACACGACACACACUUUACGCACACGCGCAUUUCGUCGUCUCAUGAUUACACACGUGGUCCCAGGGUGAGGUUUUUCCACAUUUAUUUACGUAAAAGACGGGGAGAAAGCAAGUACAAAUAUUCAGGUGUACAGGAUAUUCAGGAAUAACAGGAUAAUCUAGUUAGUUUUUUUUUUUUUUUUCCUUUCAAGACAAACCAGAUUUUUUUAUUUUAUUUAAACAAACUAAAACAUACAUUAGCAAGCUAUCAUAUAGACCUAACAUGCAAAUAAUUAAUUAAAAAAACAGAUGUGUACAUAGAAAAAUAAUAUAAUACUAAAGAAGACUACCGGAAUAAUUUUUAUUUAUUUAUUUUUUAAGUGUGUAAAAUUAUUCUGGCACUCUGGUGGAUUAGAUGGAAAAAUAACUCCUUUAUUUUACCAACUGUAGUGUUGCUGCGAAGGCACAUAUGUACUCAUGCUUGUACGUCUGUACACGGCUCAUGCCGAAGCCAGAAACACACCGAGCCCUUUUUAAAAAACAAACAAAAAAAAACAAACGGUACGAGGGGACGGAAAGAAAACACGGUGCCGAUGGGAAUCCGUUUGGUGUCCUAGCUUUCUCGUUCGCGGCGUCCUCGAGGCACGCGGGCCGGCUCGUCGUUCUCCAUCUUCGUUUUAUGUUGAAUAGGAAGUUCUCUCUCACACACACACGUGUGCACACACACACUGUAAACAAGGCAGUGAAAAUGUUAACAUUACCCGGGCAAGUGAUUUUAAAAACGAAGGACUCCAGCAUGCGAGACGCGUCGAGGUCGAGGCUCAAAACUUUUGCCGCCUGCGUCGUGAGAUGACGCGCGUCACGUUAUCAUACACACUUUAACACACGCAUCCAAAGCCUGAAAAUCGUGGUACUCCUCUCAUUGUGUGUGUACAGAAGCCCUGAUCCUGGAGAUCCAUUCCAUUAUUUUCACUCGAUAUCUGUCUAUAUUUCGACACCUCACUCAGCCUUGUGCGAUGUUGUUUUUUUUUUUUUUUCGACCCGAACGUGCGUACGGUGAUGGAAUUCACUUCGUAUCAAUGACCUCGAACUAUUCGUUUACUGCGUCAGAGAGAGGGCGACCGGUCGCGAGCACCACGGGACGAGAUGGGAGGGGGCGGGGCUUCCCGGCGGUGUCACUGUUCAUAACGGAAAGUUUAAAAGGAGUCGCGGCGUGAUUUUCCUGACAUACGAGGAGGUUGUUCCAUUAAGACGUCACUCGGGUUUCACGGCGUGAUGCGUCCUCCUCGGUUCAAAAAGAGCGUUUAUUUAACCGAGCGGCAAAAAAAAACGGCUCGUUUGGAUGUGGCGG